rnacentral:tRNA from 1 species
AAGAAAUUAGUUUAAAUAAAACAUUAACUUGUCAAGUUAAAGAUAUAUAAAUAUAUUUCUUA